GAUGAACGCUGGCGGCGUGCCUAAUACAUGCGAGUCGAGCGAACAGACGAGGAGCUUGCUCCUCUGACGUUAGCGGCGGACGGGUGAGUACACGUGGAUAACCUACCUAUAAGACUGGGAUAACUUCGGGAAACCGGAGCUAAUACCGGAUAAUAUAUUGAACCGCAUGGUUCAAUAGUGAAAGACGGUUUUGCUGUCACUUAUAGAUGGAUCCGCGCCGCAUUAGCUAGUUGGUAAGGUAACGGCUUACCAAGGCAACGAUGCGUAGCCGACCUGAGAGGGUGAUCGGCCACACUGGAACUGAGACACGGUCCAGACUCCUACGGGAGGCAGCAGUAGGGAAUCUUCCGCAAUGGGCGAAAGCCUGACGGAGCAACGCCGCGUGAGUGAUGAAGGUCUUCGGAUCGUAAAACUCUGUUAUUAGGGAAGAACAAAUGUGUAAGUAACUAUGCACGUCUUGACGGUACCUAAUCAGAAAGCCACGGCUAACUACGUG
rnacentral:rRNA from 1 species